UCAUUCCAUGACAAAUUUCCUAAUUCAAAGUCGUCUUUAAAAUAGCUUAAAUUUAAAAAUGGUUAAAAUUAUAACAAUAUCUUUUAUUGUGUGUGUAUAUGUGUGUGUGUGUAUGUGUAUAGCAGGCACCAGAAAACAGAGAAAUAUUUAUUAUUUUCUGGAGUUUAAAAUGGUCACAGUACAUAUUUGUGUUCAUAGACACAAAAUCUACCUUUGAUUGUUUCCAUUUAGUCAACGUAUAUGCACAGGCUUUGAGAUCAGAGGUGUCCACAGCUGAAGAACAACAGGUGAAGAGGUCUGUGCACACACAGACUCACAUCCCUAGUCCCUGAGAUCUCAGAACCCUCUUUCACACUGCUUUGGUUAUCAAUCCCAACGAAUUAGACAAGUUUCUCAGAGGACAUGACAUUUCGUUACAAGUGUACUCUGAUCACACCUGGCUUACCCUUCAGCUGAGACUCACCUUCAUGGUCAUGACCUUCUAAGUAAGACAGCUUUAGGUGUGGUCCACAGGCCUACCCUCCACCAUGAGUGCUUCUACUGGGUUCCCACAGCCCUGCUUUCUCACCCUGCCACAUACGGACUAAAGGAGUGCUUACGGUUAGAGCUGAAUUUGCAGUGUUCACCUUAAAACUUGGUUCUUAUAGCAUCUCUUCAAAUCCAAGCUGUUGCAAUCGUUUCCCUCCAAGAAGCCAAAGGUAAAAUGUUUUCCUGAACAUUCACAGAGAAUCUAUCUGCUUCAUCCUUGUCUUAGUUAUGGUUCUAUUGCUGUGAGGAGACACCAUGACCAAGGAUACUUACAAGUGAAAGCGUGUACUUGGGGGCUGGCUUACAGCUUCAGGGGGUGAGCCUAUGACCAUCAUGGCAGGGAGCUGGACUGCAGGCAGGCAGGAGCAGCACUGGAGCAGCUGAGAACUUAUAGCUUUUAUCCACACGUUGUAGGCAGAGAAGUGUGGUGGGGAGACUGGUCCUGGGGUGGUCUUUUGAAACCUCAAAGCCCACCCAGUGACACAG